rnacentral:rRNA from 1 species
AGAGUUUGAUCCUGGCUCAGAACGAACGCUGGCGGCGUGCUUAACACAUGCAAGUCGAACGCGAAAGGGACUUCGGUCCUGAGUAAAGUGGCGCACGGGUGAGUAACGCGUGGAUAAUCUACCCAAUGGUCUGGGAUAACAUUUCGAAAGGGGUGCUAAUACCGGAUAAGACCACGGAGUCUAUGGACUCUGCGGUAAAAGGUGGGGACCUUCGGGCCUACCGCAAUUGGAUGAGUCCGCGUACCAUUAGCUAGUUGGUAGGGUAAAGGCCUACCAAGGCGACGAUGGUUAGCUGGUCUGAGAGGAUGAUCAGCCACACUGGAACUGAGACACGGUCCAGACUCCUACGGGAGGCAGCAGUGGGGAAUUUUGCGCAAUGGGGGAAACCCUGACGCAGCAACGCCGCGUGAGUGAUGAAGGCCUUCGGGUCGUAAAGCUCUGUCAGAGGGGAAGAAAUGCGGGGUGCUAAUAUCACUUCCGCUUGACGGUACCCUCAAAGGAAGCACCGGCUAACUCCGUGCCAGCAGCCGCGGUAAUACGGAGGGUGCGAGCGUUGUUCGGAAUUAUUGGGCGUAAAGCGCGUGUAGGCGGUUUGUUAAGUCUGAUGUGAAAGCCCCGGGCUCAACCUGGGAAGUGCAUUGGAAACUGGCAGACUUGAAUACGGGAGAGGGUAGUGGAAUUCCUAGUGUAGGAGUGAAAUCCGUAGAUAUUAGUAGGAACACCGGUUGCGAAGGCGGCUACCUGGACCGAUAUUGACGCUGAGACGCGAAAGCGUGGGGAGCAAACAGGAUUAGAUACCCUGGUAGUCCACGCCGUAAACGAUGAGUACUAGGUGUUGCGGGUAUUGACCCCUGCAGUGCCGCAGCUAACGCAUUAAGUACUCCGCCUGGGAAGUACGGCCGCAAGGCUAAAACUCAAA